rnacentral:rRNA from 1 species
AGUGAACGUUGGCGGCGUGGAUUAGGCAUGCAAGUCGAGCGGAAAGGCCCCGCAAGGGGUACUCGAGCGGCGUAAGGGAUAGUAACACGUGGGUAACCUACCUCCGGGACUGGGAUAGCUGCGGGAAACUGCAGGUAAUACCGGAUAACGUCCCCGGACCAAAGGUGUGAUUCCGCCCGGAGAGGGGCCCGCGUCCUAUUAGCUAGUUGGCAGGGUAAAGGCCUACCAAGGCUAAGAUGGGUAGGGGGUGUGAGAGCAUGACCCCCAUCACUGGGACUGAGACACUGCCCAGACACCUACGGGUGGCUGCAGUCGAGAAUCUUCGGCAAUGGGCGCAAGCCUGACCGAGCGACGCCGCGUGCGGGAUGAAGGCCCUCGGGUUGUAAACCGCUGUCAGAGGGAAAGAAAUGCCAUGGGGUUCUCUUCAUGGUUUGACUGACCCUCAGAGGAAGUACGGGCUAAGUUCGUGCCAGCAGCCGCCGUAAGAC